GCCCCGGUAGCUCAGCUGGAUAGAGUGGCCCCCUCCUAAGGGGCAGGUCACAGGUUCGACUCCUGUUCGGGGCACCA
rnacentral:tRNA from 1 species